UUGGGGUUGCGGACAUAUCAUAACGAAGAGGUAUCGUAAUUGAAGAGGUUUGGAAAGACCCACCACAGAAGGUAAUAGUCCUGUAUGUUAAACGAGAAGACUUUAGAUAUGAUCCAGAGUACCACGGGACACGUGAAACCCUGUGGGAAGCAGGAGGGACCACCCUCCAAGGCUAAAUACUACCUAGUGACCGAUAGCGUAUAGUACCGUGAGGGAAAGG
rnacentral:rRNA from 1 species